rnacentral:rRNA from 1 species
CCUACGGGGGGCUGCAGUAAGGAAUAUUGGUCAAUGGGCGGGAGCCUGAACCAGCCAUGCCGCGUGCAGGAAGACGGCCUUAUGGGUUGUAAACUGCUUUUAUCGGGGAAUAAAACUUUCUACGCGUAGAGAGCUGAAGGUACCCGAAGAAUAAGCAUCGGCUAACUCCGUGCCAGCAGCCGCGGUACUACGGAGGAUGCAGGCGUUAUCCGGAUUCAAUGGGUUUAAGGCGGACUCAGAAGGAAUGGGAGAAAUUCUAGUGCUUAACAUUAGACCUGCCAUUGAUACUGUCAGUCUAGAGUAUAGUUGGAGUGGGCGGAAUGUGUCAUGUAGCGGUGAAAUGCUUAGAUAUGACACAGAACACCGAUCGCGAAGGCAGCUCACUAAGCUAAAACUGACGCUCAUGCACGAAAGCGUGGGGAUCAAACAGGAUUAGAUACCCCAGUAGUC